AACAGUGUCAGUGCAAAAGUUAGAUACUGGUGCCACACUGGAAGAGGGAGAGGUCUGCAAGAUCAUUCCACCGGACCUACCAGCAUCUAAAAUGCAAGCUGUGUUUCUACCCGCUGUCCUGUUCAUGUGCCUAUGCUCUUUAGGAAGAUGUCAAAUGCACAGUGACGCAUGUGCCCCAGUUACAAUCGAGAAUGCGAUCGUAGUACAGCAGGAGUCCAGUAUGGUGUUAUCCUGCAAUCGUGGUUUCAGACUAGAUACGGGCUGCUCUAAUGGCUCAUGGCCUCUCACACCCAAGUGUGUGCCUAUUAUUAUUGUAAGCUGUGGUAAGCCUGAUGGCGAACAUAUGGAGAUACUUCCAGAUUUGUCUGAGUAUGAUGAUGGAACCACUGUGAGGUACAUAUGCAAGCCACCCUACACCGCAAAACCAAAUGGAGAAUUGACAUGUAUAAAUGGCCAAUGGAAUGGUAAAGUGGAAUGCAUAAUGUCUCGAAGUUCAUGUGUUGCACCUCCAGCGGAAAGUUUUAUAGAAGUCAUUGACAGCGAAGGGCUAGGCCUAGUCUUUCCUCAUGGAACCGUUGUAACUUUCCAGUGCCCACGCUACUAUACUUUUAAUUUAUUUCGGAAUCAAGGAAACAAAUUCCAGAAUGUAUGCCAUUUUGGAAAAUGGCUACAUCCAAUGAGAUGUUUGAAACCCUGCACAGUGACACAAGAGGUCAUGGCUGACAGAAACAUUAUGCUUAAAGUGAGCCGAGAGUACGGUACGAUGUAUAUUGAACAUAGGGACCAUGUAACAUUUUUGUGCAAAUCGGGGACAACAAGUGAUGAUUACAUGAGAUCGAUGUGUGAAGACGGCAGUAUCAAACUUCCUGAAUGUCACUAACACAAUAUUCCGUUGUUUUGUGACUACUGACUGCUAUAAUUCUCUUCUUGUGUAUAGGUUUUACAAACAUAUCUUGUAUCAGUUAAAGAUUACAUUGAUGUAACCACAUCAUAUUCCUAAUUGUUUUAGGACUGAGACUUAUGGCUUCUUGGAGGGGCUUCUCCGUGUGUUUAAAAGUUCAGUAAAAUGUCUUUCUGUUGGGAUUUUACCUGCACAGGAAAAACAAGUAAAA